UCGGACAUAAAUAUAUACCUGAAUUUUUGUGUAGCCACCACACAUUUCUACUUCAACAAUCUAGGCUAAUGGAUAGAUCUUCUCAUCUCUACCUCCUUAUAGCGUCACUCCUACUACAUCAAUGGAUGAUUGAUUAUAGCUCAGCCAACUCAGAUAUAAACGUUGAUCGUUCUUCGCUUGUUAUCAUCAAAUCAAGAAUCUCUUUUGAUCCCCAUAAUAUAUUGGAGUGGUGAGAGCAAUAUCUGUAGUUGGAUAGGAGUUACAUGUGAUUCUCACCAUCGUAGUGUAACUCAGUUGAAUUUAUCGUCAAUGGGUCUCGCGGGAAUCAUUCCACCGGAAAUCGGAAAUCUUUCUUUUCUUGUUUCUUUAGAUAUGAGCGAUAACUAUUUUCAUGGUCCUAUUCCCCCAUCUAUUUUCAACAUGUCAUUUUUAGAAAAUAUGAAUUUAAAUUUUAAUAAUUUGUCUGCCUGCCUACCUCAUGACAUGUGCAAACAAAAUCUUGAUAGACUCGUAUUUCUCCGUAUCUCUUUCAAUGAAUUAUAUGGGGAAAUACCAGAGUUGAGGCAGUGUUCGCAUCUUGUGUAUCUUACUUUAUCCAAAAACAAAUUUAAUGGUAAUAUUCCAAAAGAGAUUGGUGGUCUUACAAAUUUACAAGCUUUGGCAAUGAGUUUCAACAAUUUUAGUGGCCACGUGCCAAGAUAAAUUGGGAACUUGACAAAGCUUGAAUUGUUAGACCUUAGUACCAACAACUUAAACGGUAAUAUUCCAAAAGAGAUCGGUUAUCUUACUAAGUUAAAAGGGUUGAACAUGAUUUCCAACGUGGUAUCAGGAUCAUUACCAAAUGAAAUUGGAAACAUGACAUCCCUUACCGACUUAUUCCUAAAGAAUAACGCAUUAAGUGUGUUUAUUUAAUUGUCUAGACGGGAUACAUGUCACCAUCGACCUCCUCAUGGACUCGCCGUCUGAUUUCGUUGCUGCUGAUUCUCGCCGAGCGGUGAGAGGCGCUCCAGGAUCCACUGAGCAGUCGCUUCGGUCGGUGUCAUACUCCAGCCAUCUCGGCUGCAUUGUCAUUGUCAAUUUCGUCGGACUGCCGUGCACUUCUCGGCUUAGGGAAGCUUUAGCAACAAUCUUUCUACUCCCUCUGGAGAGUUUGUAUCUGGCUGGUGCUUGUCUAACGUUCUAGUUUGUGAAGAGGAUGCACCAUUAGAAUGAGAAGGAUUUGUUUCUCAACAUGUUCAUUUGGUUCAUAGAGAAGGACUAUUAGAAACUGUCAGAUGACAAAGUGUCCACAGUUAUGUAUGCCUGCUUCUAACUCUUCCCUUGGUUAAUCAAGUAGUAGUACAUAUCUAUAUUCUAAUACUCUAUUGC